UACGUAGGGUGCGAGCGUUAAUCGGAAUUACUGGGCGUAAAGCGUGCGUAGGUGGUUCGUUAAGUCUGUCGUGAAAGCCCCGGGCUCAACCUGGGAAUUGCGCGCGAAACGGGGGGGCUUGAGUUCGGGAGAGGAGCGUGGAAUUCCCAGUGUAGAGGUGAAAUUCGUAGAUAUUGGGAAGAACACCGGUGGCGAAGGCGGCGCUCUGGACCGAGACUGACGCUGAGGCGCGGAAAGCGUGGGGAGCAAACAGGG
rnacentral:rRNA from 1 species